AUUCCAGCUCCAAUAGCGUAUAUUAAAGUUGUUGCGGUUAAAAAGCUCGUAGUUGGAUCUCGGCGGGCAGGGGGUGGUUCGCUCUUCAGCGCUACUGCCCCGCUUUGCCCGUGUGAUUGGCGGAGGUUUCGGGGUGCUCUUCGUUGAGUGACUCGGAGCGCCGUCAGGUUUACUUUGAAAAAAUUAGAGUGCUCAAAGCAGGCUUUUCACGCUUGAAUAUUCGUGCAUGGAAUAAUGGAAUAGGAACUCGUUUCUAUUUUGUUGGUUUUCGGAAAUCGAGUUAAUGAUUAACAGGGACAAUUGGGGGCAUUAGUAUUCAGACGACAGAGGUGAAAUUCUUGGACCGUCUGAAGACUGACUACUGCGAAAGCAUUUGCCAAGAGUGUUUUCAUCG
rnacentral:rRNA from 1 species